AACGCAAAUUGCACUCUCCGGUCUUCCGGAGAGUAUGCCUGUUUGAGGGUCGGUAAAAUAAAAUAUCGAUUUGUUAUUUUUGUAACACUUCGGAGUUGGGUUAACUUGAUACCCUCAAGUGACCUAAAAUUUAUCAUUUAUUUCGGUACAAUUAACGUUAUUAAUGAUUUCGUUUUGAGUGCCGGAUUUUAUUAGAUGUGACUAUUUAAUAUAGCAUCACUUCUAUAAUUUUGAUUUUCGACCUCAAAUCAGGUAAGAUUACCCGCUGAACUUAA
rnacentral:misc_RNA from 1 species